ACUUUGUUACUACGCACACGAUGUAACAAAGUGUGGUGCUACAACACAAUGUCCACAAGAUGAGCAUUGUGGAAUCCAUGAAUUUUCCAUGAAUGGAGAGAAAACGUAUCAUGCUGGGUGUAUUUCCACUGAGGUGUGCGAAGGAAGACAAUACGCACCAAUAAAAAUAUUUGGAAAACGUAGACAGUUAACAACUGUAAAAGUACAAUGCUGUGAUACAGACCUGUGUAAUGCCGAUCCAAAUAAUGUUACGACAGGGUUGCCAGAUAUAAAUGUAACGACCAGUACUACUAAAACGACUGGAAUUACUACAUCUGACCAGCAGUUAAUGACGUCAAGUUUACCUACGACUUCUGCCACGUGCGUUGAUCAUUCUAACUGCGGCCACCUUUUGCAGACAUUUCCAAUAUGUACAGAUUCUUUUACUGCAAAGACUGUUUGUCCAAAAUUAUGCGGUUUAUGUGAUACUGAUACUUCAGCAACAACAAAUAAGUCUACACAAUGUGUAGAUAUUUCGAACGAAUGUGAAAUACUGAUACAACAUUUUCAAGUAUGUAAAGAUACUGAUUUUUCAUUGGCUAGAUGUAGAAAAUCUUGCAACCUGUGUUCGCAAAUCACUACAAUAGUACCAAGCUUAGAGACGCCGCCACCGAAUCGAGAAACACUCCCACCAAAUCGAGAAACUCCUCCACCGAACCGAGAAACACCCCUGCCUUCACAGAGCUCUUCAUUGUUACCAAAUGUAGAGACGCCACUUCCGAAUCGGGAAACGGUCGAACCUUCGCAAACAUCAGCACCGCUACCAAAUAUUGAGACGCCAAGCUUUUAAAGGCACUAUAGUUUUGUCCGAAAACAGAAAACCUUAAUUACUAUUAAAAUGUUAUAGUAUCACAGCUCCUUAUGCAUACUUCGUAUGUUGUAAUAAACAAUUGAGUUAAAACUAGUUAGAAAGCUAAACAAUAAGCAAAACGAACCCGACCACAAAACACGUGUGCCCCGGAAGGGUAAACAUUUCCUGUUCCACGAUUUUGUCCCCAUCAUUUGCUCAUGCAAGUAAAAAUUCUGUAAUAAGCAACAUUCGAUGUAAUAGUCUAGGAUUUCUCUCGAUGCAACAUGUUUUAAAAAUAUGUGAAAUUUAUAAUAUCAUAAGUUUAUGAGUAUUGUCUUCAAUUGGAAUGUAUAGAACAUUUUGCUCUUGUGGACAUUAUAAAAAAAUCUAAAAAGAUCGUAAAGAUCAAUGUUUUAAACGCUUUGAACUUCAUAUUCUGGUAUGUUUCAUUAUAUUUUAAUUUAUUUUUCAUUAAUUUUAAAAUUAUAUUUGUUCCAAAAGCCGGUUUAAUUUUAAAAUGUAUACCGAUUAGUCUGAUUGGUCUGCCCUUCAGGAAAAUUGACAAAGUAUGAUUUUCUUAUUCUAAUUUGUAGUCCGUGAAAUCAGGCAUACGCAUUGAUUUUUUUUUUAGAUAAACCACUAGGACAAAAACUAACCUACGUACAUGCAUAUGAACAGAGAAAACUGCAAUUUUGAAACUAUUGUAUAUAUGCCAAAUGGUAUGAACCGUGUCACUAACUUUUUUUUUUUGGAAUACACUUGCAAGAAUAUAGAGGUAAAUCUUAAUCAUACAGUAUCUAUAUCUAGUAAAACGAGGAAGAACAAUAAUCAAUUUACAAGUUCAUGGAAACCAAACUACGCGCAACACCGCAGUGUUUGUUCUAUGAUUUAAACUCAUUCAACCAAAAUGUUAUCUACAGACAAAGAUUGAAAUGAUUUCUCAAAAGCCCCGAUUUUACAACUGUUUAUAGGCUCUUAAUUUUGCUUUUCAUAUUAGUAUAUGGUCCAUGAUAAUGCUUUUUGGAAAAAUCGAAUUUCAACCUUAACAUUAAACUAUUGUUAUAUCAGACUGUAACAAAAAGCACCUGCGUUGCAUAUAAACGGCAAAAAACUAUUAUUUUUAAAUUUUCGAUAUUUUUUUGCUUUGCUUUGAGUGAAAUGUUGACUGGGAAUUUAUCUUCGAUCUCUCAGAUAAGAUGCAUACCACGUAACAACAAAAUUUCAUCUGACGUAACGGGUUUUUUUUUUCUUCAAAAAAGGGUGUUUGUUAUUUCUUGAAACUAUUAAUAUUGCUCACAUUUUUUUUGCAUGAAGUCAAUAAAUGGAUGUUUUAUUAACUGAAAAUUAGCUAUUUUCGUGUUGAUUUGAAUCUUAUUAAUAAAAUGCAGUCAAGUUUUGGGCCAAGAAAAACCGUCUUUGUUAUUUCAAUGUGUUGUUGAUCGCUGUUGCAUUGACGUAUAUCCAACAUCUAUUAUUCAUCCUCAAUAUCUCUUGUCCUUCAUGACUAUGAGUCUGUCUGUUAAAAUAUCAUCUAGGAUCAUGGGUUAAUAAUACUGUAGGAUCAUGGGUUAAUAAUACUGUAGGAUCAUGGGUUAAUAAUACUGAAGGAUCAUGGGUUAAUAAUACUGUGGUACAGCCAAUGGUUCCGUAGCAAUACUUAUAAAUAGAAUUACUCUGAAUAUAGGAGAAAUAUUGCCACUAGACGUUAAGCAAACUAUAAUCGCACGAAAAAAAAUACCUAAGCAAUUUCACCAAUCCCAGCUUUAAAAAAACAGACAUUACUAUAUAUAGAAUAUACGAUUCAUAGACUGUUUGAAUAAAACGGACAGGUUAUAUGAUUUAAAAACAUGACCCUGCAAGGUAGAAACUUUCGAAUGCAUUGGAUGUGUCUUUUUCGUGAAAGGCCUACCUCCA